rnacentral:rRNA from 1 species
GACGAACGCUGGCGGCGUGCCUAAAACAUGCAAGUCGAACGAGGCCUUCGGGUCUAGUGGCGAACGGCGGAGUAAUACAUGAACAACGUGCCCCUAAGUCUGGGACAAACGCAGAAAUGUUAUAAAUACCAGAUGUGGCCGGAGAAGGACAUCCUUUUCCGAUUAAAGGUUUUCGUCUUAGGGAGCGGUUCAUGGCCUAUCAGCUAGUUGGUGGGUAACGGCCUACCAAGGCGACGACGGGUAGGGGGUCUAAGAGGAUGAUCCCCCGAGUGGGACUGAGACACGGCCCACACACCUACGGGUGGCAGCAGUUGGGAAUCUUGCACAAUGGGGGAAACCCUGAUGCAGCGACGCCGCGUGGAGGAUGACGGAUCUAGGUCUGUAAACUCCUUUUUCAGGGAAAGACUUAGGACGGUACCCUGAGAAUAAGGACCGGCUAACUACGUGCCAGCAGCCGCGGUAAU